rnacentral:rRNA from 1 species
UACGUAGGGUGCAAGCGUUAAUCGGAAUUACUGGGCGUAAAGGGUGCGUAGGCGGUUCGUUAAGUCUGUCGUGAAAUCCCCGGGCUCAACCUGGGAAUGGCGAUGGAUACUGGGCAGCUAGAGUGUGUCAGAGGAUGGUGGAAUUUCCGGUGUAGCGGUGAAAUGCGUAGAUAUCGGAAGGAACACCUGUGGCGAAAGCGGCUCACUGGACCAUAACUGACGCUGAGGCACGAAAGCUAGGGGAGCAAACAGG